CGGUGAAGGAUUAGCGGCGAACGGGUGAGGAACACGUGAAGAAUCUGCCUUCAACUCUGGGAUAACUCCGGGAAACCGGGGCUAAUACCGGAUAUGAGCCUUGAUCGCAUGAUCGGGGCUGGAAAGUUUUUCGGUUGAAGAUGACUUCGCGGCCUAUCAGCUUGUUGGUGAGGUAAUGGCUCACCAAGGCGACGACGGGUAGCCGGCCUGAGAGGGCGACCGGCCACACUGGGACUGAGACACGGCCCAGACUCCUACGGGAGGCAGCAGUGGGGAAUAUUGGGCAAUGGAGGAAACUCUGACCCAGCGACGCCGCGUGCGGGAUGAAGGCCUUCGGGUUGUAAACCGCUUUCAGCAGGGAAUAAGCGCAAGUGAAGGUACCUGCAGAAGAAGCACCGGCUAACUAUGUGCCAGCAGCCGCGGUAAUACAUAGGGUGCAAGCGUUGUCCGGAAUUAUUGGGCGUAAAGAGCUCGUAGGUGGUUUGUUACGUCGGUUGUGAAAUUCAGGGGCUCAACCCCUGACUUGCAGCCGAUACGGGCAAGCUAGAGUUUGGUAGGGGAGACUGGAAUUCCUGGUGUAGCAGUGGAAUGCGCAGAUAUCAGGAGGAACACCGAUGGCGAAGGCAGGUCUCUGGGCCAAUACUGACACUGAGGAGCGAAAGCGUGGGGAGCGAACAGGAUUAGAUACCCUGGUAGUCCACGCCGUAAACGGUGGGCGCUAGUUGUGCGAACCUUCCACGGUUUGUGCGACGCAGCUAACGCAUUAAGCGCCCCGCCUGGGGAGUACGAUCGCAAGAUUAAAAAUCAAAUGAAUU
rnacentral:rRNA from 1 species